GAUGAACGCUAGCUACAGGCCUAACACAUGCAAGUCGAGGGACCGGCGCACGGGUGAGUAACACUUAUACAUCCUUCCCUUUCCUCGGGGAUAGCCUUUCGCAUGGAAGAUUAAUACCCGUUCUAUUGGAUUGGGAUGCGUUCCAUUAGGUUGGUGGUAUGGUAUCGGCUCACCAAGCCUUCGAUGGAUAGGGGUUCUUAGAUGAAGGUCCCCUGCAUUGGAACUGAGACACGGUCCAAAAUCGUACGGGAGGGAGCAGUUAGGAAUACUGGUCAAUGGGCUCUAGCCUGAACCAGCCAAGUAGCGUGAAGGAUGAAGGCUUAUGAGUCGUAAACUUCUUUUAUAUAAGAAUAUGUAUUAUAUGAAUAAGGAUCGGCUAACUCCGUGCCAGCAGCCGCGGUAAUAC
rnacentral:rRNA from 1 species